rnacentral:rRNA from 1 species
UGGGGAAUAUUGCACAAUGGAGGGAACUCUGAUGCAGCGACGCCGCGUGAGUGAUGAAGGAAUUCGUUUCGUAAAACUCUGUUCUAUGGGAAGAAAAGGACUGUACCAUAGGAGAAAGCUCCGGCUAAAUACGUGCCAGCAGCCGCGGUAAUACGUAUGGAGCGAGCGUUGUCCGGGAUUAUUGGGCGUAAAGGGUGCGCAGGCGGCUUUACAAGUUGGAUGUGAAAUAUUGUGGCUCAACCACAAACGUGCAUCCAAAACUGCAAAGCUUGAGUUAAGGAGAGGUAAGUGGAAUUCCUGGUGUAGCGGUGGAAUGCGUAGAUAUCAGGAGGAAUACCGGUGGCGAAGGCGACUUACUGGACUUAAACUGACGCUCAGGCACGAAAGCGUGGGGAGCAAACAGG